CUUUAAUAUACUGGUCCUGUGCUCCACACUCCUUGUUAACAUGAGGAGUCUCCCACAAUAUGUUAAAAGAUGAGUCUUUAGUCUCCAGCUUGCUGAUCCCUGGUUUACAAUCAGAUGUGACAGCAAUAGAAUGACUGUAAAUAUCUUGAUGUGAAAAUCUGUAUGAAGAUGGGACUGCCAUUUCUCUUCCUACUCUUCUGUGUUUUUGGUACGCGAGAUGUUAGCUGCACCACUUCUGCUUGCUUCCCAUCAAACUGGAAAAAUGCAUCUGCUCUGCUUUCUGAGCCACCCUCUAGGGUCCUGGAUUCCCUUCUGAGUGGGGAAAUGUAUCCAGGCAAUGGGAACGCUGAAAAGAAAAAGCCUGAGCGUAUCUGGCAGAACGAGAACCACGGAACAAGGACCAGGGCUGCUUCAAAACAAGGAAGUAAUCAAGCAAAGAAACUGUCUUAGGAGGACUACAGGAAUACAGGAAUCAAGGCGGGGACUUAUGCUGGUGCUUCCUCCGGCUUCCCCAGGGACUGUGCCUAUGCUGUUUGAUGAAGUGCAGGGCUAAAAGCAGACUGAAGCGAUGAAAGCUUGAUGCCCCCAUGUGGCUCUAAAACAUCUGUGGUUCAGAUGCAACAAGUCUGUUUUGUUCGUAAGGUAAAUUUAGGUCAAGCAUCGUCUCUUUCCAUUGCUUGUCAUUGGAUGUACCACUGGAAGGAGCUCAAGCGUGCCAGCUAUGUGUUGUCUCUGUGACAUUGCUGCAAGGCAUUCCCAUAAAGAUGAUGGAGUGAGCUGGCAUUGUUAGUCCCCAAACACAGAGGAGAGCAAGCUUAGAAUUUGUUCCCUACCAUAUCUUGGAGUUCAGCUGAAGUCCAGGCUCAAGAACAGGCUUACCUCCAAAAAUUUUGGAAGCUACAAGACUUUGACAGGUUCAGACUAUGCUCAGAUUGGGAUAAUUUAGAAAGUUUGGAGCAGGUGGAAAGACAACUGAAAAUAGGCACCAAGGUGAGCCUUGUGACCACCCUAGUGUUAGAGAUUUCUUAGGAAAGCUGAGUGGAGAAUAGCUAGAAUUACAGAUGAAGAAGCUAUUUUAGGAAGUAAAGCUUUCUCUUUCUAGGCUGAAAUGGUUCAGCCCAAGGUCAGAUGCAUGUCAGGGAGGGACUGGGAAUGCAUGAUUGGGAAGAAAAUGCAGGACUGGCAGCCAGCAAUUAGAAAUCACUUUCUCUCCUGUAGUUGGAAAUGGAACAGCCAGACUAGGCAAUAUUUAUGCCACAUUUUCGUGUGUGUGUUUUGUUUUUUUUUUUUUUUUCUUCUUAUAUUGCCUUUUUUUACUUGUGCUUUAAGUCCCUGGAAGGCCUGCAUCAGGGUAACACGCUGACAGUCUGUGGAGCUGUACAUUGUAUUUCUAACUCUUUAUUACCUACUCUUUCAAUGCAGAGACUGUAAGAAAAGACUUGGCGAUCAUUCAAAUGCUAGACAGAUCAGAUAGGAAUGUCAUUCCAGUACCCAAAGGGAGGAAGAAAACAGAUGCACGCAUGCCUGCACGCAAUUUAUUGAUAUUGGUAUGGAGACUCGUGUUGGGACAAUAGCUUUGGGUAGAGUUUCCUUAUCUGUAAGGAGUUCAAGAUAGCAUGAGCAUUAUGGAGAAAAAUCUUAAUAGCUGCUGAGGAUCUGAGAUAUCCCUAAAAGGAGUGAAAGAGGGCAGAGAUAAUAUGUUGUUUGGUCUUGCUAAAUGCCAGUGGAAGGCCAAGAAAGCAGAGUACCACAAGGAAAUACCUGUAAAAAGUGAGGUCAUGCAGGAAGGGCAGCUGGGCAAAAGUAGGAUUAAAAAUCUCUUCUGGAGACUCUUCUGUUCGUUAUGAACAUCCUACAAAAUCCAAGCACUGCACUCUGUGUUGAGGACAGGAGGCCAGCUAGAGACCAUUAAACUAUCACAUCCAUCCUGCAGCGUUUCACCCCCUGUGAAAGGGAGAAUGGUUUCUGUCCUUUACUUUCAGGAUUUGUAAUCUAUUGACACAUAUGAGCACUCAGCACUUCAGUCAUAUAUUCCGUCACAUUUCUAUUGGAAUUUUAAGUUUUGUUGUUUAUAUUUCACAAUAAAAAUGUUUAUUGAUUAAAUACAUGGCAAAACAUUCUCAUUGCAAUGAGGCUUCCUCCUAAUAACAAGUUCCUAAGAACUUAUUUAUGCAAAGACAGUGUAUUCAGUUGAUUACUUACAGUAGAUUAUUUUCACCUCUUCUACACUCUGGCUUCCGACUGGGAACAUAUGAUGCAGCUCUGACCCAGUUUUACCUGCCAUCUGGACCGCCUUCUAUAAACACACUUUCUGAUUGUUUGUAGUGUCUGUAAAAGCUCCUUAACUUUUCUUCCAGGCCAUGAAAGGGGAUCUAGAAUGUAACUGCACAGAUGAUGAGCAAAACACAGCGGGCAUGUAUGACAGAAGCAGAUAUGGCUCACAAGUAUCCAGCCCUAUCACCUCCACUUUGCUUUCAGUCUUGCGUGUUACUAGCUACUUCAGUUAUAGGAGUAACUAAUUCUCUUUCAUGGGAAUAAACAGAGCCACUUUCUGAAGAAUCUGGCCUAAAUGUCCACAUUGAUCUCUUUCUUCGUGUUAAUACUGAUGCACGGUAUUCAUCUAGGCUGUGAAGUGCCCUGGGGAAGACCUUUCUGUUUGUGGCAUCAGAAGUUCAUGGAGCAGGCUAAUGAGUCCUGGUAGUGUUCCAGCAAAACGGGAAAUCUCAAGGAGGUGGCUCUUGCCUUUGUGAGAUCAGCUAAGGGAAUUGAUGUAUCAGCACAAAACUCGUUUAGCUGCAUAUCAACAGCAUUUUAAGUAGGGAGUUUCCAGAUGACAGUGACCACACCUAGCACAAAGUUAAAAACCAGUUCUCAUGUUGAUGGGAUAGCACUGAAACUCAUUUCGAAUGGGGGCUUUUUCCCAAAAAAGAUUUAGUCAUGAGAUAUUCUACCACGGAUGGUCACAGAUUUACAUUGUUAGUUUUAUCAAGUAAUCCUUUUUAGCUGAUCAAGCCUUUUAGCUGAUCAAGCAGUCAUAUUAAUGACUGAUGGUAUUGUUUUAGGGAAAACAAUUAGGAGAAUAAACUCUUAUUCUUACCUCUCAUGUGUUUCCCUGUUGUUCCCAUAGCUGUUUCCUAGAUCAUAAAAAAACAGUCCAGUUGCAUGAUAGCAAAAAACAAACCACCUGACUGCAUGAAUGAUGAUCAAGAUUGUGAUGCUGAUUAUUUAAGAUGAUAUUGGGUUGCAGGAAAUUGAGAUUACUAGUUGAGUGCCAUGAUAAAGACUUCAGUUCUGUCCUAGGUCUCAGAAUUUUAUUUGGGCACUAUGCUGUCCUGUCCCAAAAAGACUUUAUGUGGUUACAUAAAGUCUUUUGAAUGAUGGUGCAAAAUCUCUUAUACCUGACAUAUAAACUGUGACAGUUUAUGUCCAACAAAAAUUACUGUUUAUACUCCAUUUUUGGCCAUGCAGCUGCUAUGAAUAUAUAUGUGUGUGAUUAAGGUGUAAAAUUAAAAGUAGAAUUACAGUUUUAAAUUUUAAAUGAACAUGUGG